rnacentral:rRNA from 1 species
UACGGGAGGCAGCAGGGGGAAUAUUGCACAAUGGGCGCAAGCCUGAUGCAGCCAUGCCGCGUGUAUGAAGAAGGCCUUCGGGUUGUAAAGUACUUUCAGUCGUGAGGAAGGUGUUAAGGUUAAUAGCCUUAGCAAUUGACGUUAGCGACAGAAGAAGCACCGGCUAACUCCGUGCCAGCAGCCGCGGUAAUACGGAGGGUGCGAGCGUUAAUCGGAAUUACUGGGCGUAAAGGGCACGCAGGCGGUUAAUUAAGUUGGAUGUGAAAUCCCCGGGCUUAACCUGGGAAUGGCAUUCAAGACUGGUUAGCUAGAGUCUUGUAGAGGGGGUAGAAUUCCAUGUGUAGCGGUGAAAUGCGUAGAGAUGUGGAGGAAUACCGGUGGCGAAGGCGGCCCCUGGACAAAGACUGACGCUCAUGUGCGAAAGCGUGGGGAGCAAAC